CACACGUAGUAAAACUAGACUUAUCUUUAAAACACGAGAAUCUUGAGUACACUGCGAAUAACAAAGUUUUUAAAUUUUAGUUUACUUUUGACUUUAAGCCAUUUGUUUUAAAUCGAAAUUAAUUGAUAAUGUAAUUAUUUCAAAGUAAAAAUUUUCCGUCGCAAAUUGGCUUCUAACCUUCGCCACUGAACCAGCCUACGCACGACAUUCGCGCGAGUCUGUUUCUUCGCAAUAGUCUGUAUAGUGUCGAGGGCUAAUUCUAAAAAGAAUCGAGUCCUUACUAAUCUAAUGUUUAUUAAAAUUAGGUACAAUUGUUGGAACGCAUGAGAAAUAACAAAUUAAUAUUUCUUUAAAUCUAUAGCCAAAAGAAAGUAGAACUUUAAAACUCUGUAAAUUAUGAAUCGAGUGACGGCUGUCGUGAAAACGGGAGCCAUUUUACUCUUUUUUUUUAGGGUGACCUACUUUUAUUAUAUAAUUUUAAAAUUCAUCGAUUUGAUAAGCAGCUGAGUAGCUGACUACGCAUGCGAUAUGGCUGGCACGUUUUGGGAUAGGGAUCGAGUACACCAUAGAAUUUUUUUUCUUAGAACUAAGCGUAUUUUUUUUUAAAAUCAAAAGAUACUUACAUAUCAGUUGUUGAUUUCAAUUUCAUUAUAGAUCUAAUCACUAACUUCAGUUUUUAAAAGUGAUUUUGCUUCUAGAACUAGCGUAUUUUCAAAAUUACGUAGAUUCUAAAUCUAGAUCUAUUCACUUACUAUUUGACAACCGUGUCAGUAAAAUGAGGUCACCGCUUCCAGAUUCUUAGGUUUUAAUUAUGUUUGUCAUUUUGAUCUAUUAUAAGUAGCAUUAAAACAACUGCAUCUAUUAUCAACAUUGUUUUUAUAUGCCAGUUCUAAUUAUACAUUCUGUUCAUUACCAAUUCUAAUGAAAUCGUAUCAGGCCCUAACACCCUGUUCACCUACACUGACACUAGAUCUACACUUGAAUGACGCCACAGACAGUCGUAACUUUAAAUUAAUGUUCAAAAGUGUUUCUAAAAGCCAGAAUUUUAAAGGGGAGGGCGGUCGUUUUUUUUCUCAAGAAUAAUUAUAGAAAUAAGCUAUAAACUGGUAUAUUUUGUAAAGUUUGACAUAAUUACAAAUAAAUGUAUGCCUAAGUGAC